rnacentral:rRNA from 1 species
GCAAAGGUGACGGUACCUGCAGAAGAAGCGCGGCUAACUACGUGCCAGCAGCCGCGGUAAUACCGUAGGGCGCAAGCGUUAUCCGGGAAUUAUUGGGCGUAAAGAGCUCGUAGGCGGUUUGUCGCGUCUGCCGUGAAAGUCCGGGGCUCAACUCCGGGAUCUGCGGUGGGUACGGGCAGACUAGAGUGAUGUAGGGGAGACUGGAAUUCCUGGUGUAGCGGUGAAAUGCGCAGAUAUCAGGAGGAACACCGAUGGCGAAGGCAGGUCUCUGGGCAUUAACUGACGCUGAGGAGCGAAAGCAUGGGGAGCGAACAGGAUUAGAUACCCUGGUAGUCCAUGCCGUAAACGUUGGGCACUAGGUGUGGGGGACAUUCCACGUUUUCCGCGCCGUAGCUAACGCAUUAAGUGCCCCGCCUGGGGAGUACGGCCGCAAGGCUAAAACUCAAAGGAAUUGACGGGGGCCCGCACAAGCGGCGGAGCAUGCGGAUUAAUUCGAUGCAACGCGAAGAACCUUACCAAGGCUUGACAUGAACCGGACCGCUGCAGAAAUGUGGUUUCCCCUUUGGGGCUGGUUUACAGGUGGUGCAUGGUUGUCGUCAGCUCGUGUCGUGAGAUGUUGGGUUAAGUCCCGCAACGAGCGCAACCCUCGUUCUAUGUUGCCAGCACGUGAUGGUGGGGACUCAUAGGAGACUGCCGGGGUCAACUCGGAGGAAGGUGGGGACGACGUCAAAUCAUCAUGCCCCUUAUGUCUUGGGCUUCACGCAUGCUACAAUGGCCGGUACAAAGGGUUGCGAUACUGUGAGGUGGAGCUAAUCCCAAAAAGCCGGUCUCAGUUCGGAUUGGGGUCUGCAACUCGACCCCAUGAAGUCGGAGUCGCUAGUAAUCGCAGAUCAGCAACGCUGCGGUGAAUACGUUCCCGGGCCUUGUACACACCGCCCGUCAAGUCACGAAAGUUGGUAACACCCGAAGUCUCGGUGGCC